GAUGAACGCUGGCGGCGUGCCUAAUACAUGCAAGUCGAGCGAAUGGAUUAAGAGCUUGCUCUUAUGAAGUUAGCGGCGGACGGGUGAGUAACACGUGGGUAACCUGCCCAUAAGACUGGGAUAACUCCGGGAAACCGGGGCUAAUACCGGAUAACAUUUUGAACCGCAUGGUUCGAAAUUGAAAGGCGGCUUCGGCUGUCACCUAUGGAUGGACCCGCGUCGCAUUAGCUAGUUGGUGAGGUAACGGCUCACCAAGGCAACGAUGCGUAGCCGACCUGAGAGGGUGAUCGGCCACACUGGGACUGAGACACGGCCCAGACUCCUACGGGAGGCAGCAGUAGGGAAUCGUCCGCAAUGGACGAAAGUCUGACGGAGCAACGCCGCGUGAGUGAUGAAGGCUUCGGGUCGUAAAACUCUGUUGUUAGGGAAGAACAAGUGCUAGUUGAAUAAGCUGGCACCUUGACGGUACCUAACCAGAAAGCCACGGCUAACUACGUGCCAGCCGCCGCAGUAA
rnacentral:rRNA from 1 species